UAAAGAUCCUUACAGACCAGCACCCCUUGGAUCUCUGAGAGCCAGCCUCAGUAAAUUGAGAGUUAGCAGAGAUCAUGAUACUCAUUCUGUACUGUGCCUGCCAGAGGAACCGCCAAAAGCUUGAAGAGAAGGCUUGGGAAUUGUAAUUUCAUCCUGUGCUGAAAGGAACUGCUUGCUCACAGGAAUUAAGUAAAUUCUCAAACAGCAUAAAAGUGUAGAGGAAGAACUGAGGAAUGCUUUUAAUUCAGCUGCAGAAAUAUAUCCAGAGUGUAAGUAUUUAUGUUGGAAUUUGAUCAGGAGGUUUCAACUUCCAGUCUUUCAUGCUGAGAACUGCAAUGGCAGCUUCCUAGCUACCUCAUAUGGACAUGGGUUUCUCUGCACUGAUAGCUGAAGAGCAUUUCCUAACUCUGUGAUUCCUAGCUCCCUGGAAUUUCUAAUUAAUUCUAAUUCUAAUUUAAUUCUGAUCAAUUCUACCUUUUGAAUUAUUGAUUUUUUUUUAACUAUCUCCUUACUCUCUAGGAUUGGCCAUUGGCCAGAGCCAUCACUACUCAGCUGAUGAGAUGUUGUCAAACAAGCAUUGCUAGAUAGUGCUUUUUAUUAAAAACAACUAUGUGCGUUUGAUGCUCAAGUAGUUAGAACACUUCUCUUUCCUGGUUUGUGCAAAGAGAUGAUUCUGCAGCACUGCAGGGCUGCCUUUGGGUAGUUUUAACUCCCAAAUUUCUUAUGCUCCCCUCCACCACCUUUUCUGUGCCUGUUGUGUGUAUAUCCAUCCCUCUUCACUCCACCAUCCACUCCAUUCUAAGCCAGCAAGCUACUGAUAAAGCUCUUGAUGAGGCACUGAAACCAGUACCAACACUGCAUCUUCCUUCCUGCUGGAGAAGAUGGGUGUUUGAUAAGCACGAAGCUUUACACAGGAGCUACAGCUAUAAACUGCUGUUGGUUACUGAGGAACAAGAGCUUCAAUUCAUGCUUCUUGGAGAAUAAAGCCUGCCAACCCCAUUCUGAUUUAGAACAAAAAUAUGGAUCAGUUGAGACUGUUCAACCACUCACAGAAAAAUCCAG
rnacentral:lncRNA from 1 species